rnacentral:rRNA from 1 species
UACGUAGGGCGCAAGCGUUGUCCGGAAUUAUUGGGCGUAAAGAGCUCGUAGGUGGCGUGUCGCGUCUGCCGUGAAAGCCCAUGGCUUAACUGUGGGUCUGCGGUGGAUACGGGCAGGCUGGAGGCUGGUAGGGGCAAGCGGAAUUCCUGGUGUAGCGGUGAAAUGCGCAGAUAUCAGGAGGAACACCGGUGGCGAAGGCGGGUCUCUGGGCCGUAACUGACGCUGAGGAGCGAAAGCGUGGGGAGCGAACAGG